UCAGUAUCCCUCAACACUCUCACCAUCACUCCGUAUCCCUGAAGUUUUUCUGAUAACCCUAAUUCUUGAACGCAUCACCCAAUCUCAACGCUCUCGAUGUCGCCACCCACUCUGUAUUCUCUGUCAGGCUGAGCCUAUCGCCGCCGCAUCACCAUUUCCAUCACCUCACUCACUUUUGUGCAUAUCACUCACUCUGAACCCUAGCUCUUGAAGUUGUCACCCACUCUGAACCCUAGCUCUUGAAGUUGUCACCCACUCUGAACCCUCUCAAACCUGUCACCCACUCCAUCCUCACCGUCAAGCUCAGUCGUUUCCCUCACCUUACUCACUGUCGCGGCCUCACCGUUUCCACUACAAAAAAAUUGGAGAUUGUGGCACAUAGCUUGCGACUCGAGAAAGAGAAAACCGAAGAGCUCUUGAAAGCCAAAGACGAGAUCUUGAAACAAAAGGAUGAAGAACUUGAAAAUCGUGGCAAGGAGCAAGAGAAACUUCACAUUGAGUUUAAGAAAUUACAUAAAUUGAAGGAAUUCAAACCCACCAUGCACCAUUUGUUUGAAGCGCUCUGAUGUUCAGCUUUACUUAAGACAAUUAUGGCUUCUUGUUUCUGGCUUGUAGUGGCAACUUCAUAUCUAUUAUCAGUUGGUGGAUCAUCUACUGCGAGUCAUCCUCCUUCGCAUCCUCAUUACGAUGAUGAUUUCGACGACCUGUAGCUAGACGAACCUUGAUCUCAUAGUUAUGCUUACUUUUUGUAGUCAUUGGUUGACAAUUAUGUAUUAAGUAACUUUGUUAAGUUUUUAUUUGAUAUUAUAUUAUUAUUUUAUAGUUUCAGAAAAAAUGAUAAUUUGUUAAGUUUUUAUUUAAUACUAUGGUGCGUUUGUUAUGUUGUUAAA